rnacentral:rRNA from 1 species
AAGCGGAGGAAAAGAAACCAACAGGGAUUGCCUCAGUAACGGCGAGUGAAGCGGCAAAAGCUCAAAUUUGAAAUCUAGCACCUUUGGUGUUCGAGUUGUAAUUUGAAGAUGGUAAUCUUGGGUUUGGCUCUUGUCUAUGUUCCUUGGAACAGGACGUCAUAGAGGGUGAGAAUCCCGUCUGAUGAGAUGCCCAUUCCUUUGUAAGAUACUAUCGAAGAGUCGAGUUGUUUGGGAAUGCAGCUCUAAGUGGGUGGUAAAUUCCAUCUAAAGCUAAAUAUUGGCGAGAGACCGAUAGCGAACAAGUACAGUGAUGGAAAGAUGAAAAGAACUUUGAAAAGAGAGUGAAAAAGUACGUGAAAUUGUUGAAAGGGAAGGGCAUUAGAUCAGACUUGGUGUUUUACGAUUAUCUUCUCUUCUUGAGUUGUGCACUCGUAUUUCACUGGGCCAGCAUCGAUUCGGAUGGCAAGAUAAUGACAGUUGAACGUGGCUCCACUUCGGUGGAGUGUUAUAGCUUCUGUUGAUAUUGCCUGUCUGGAUCGAGGGCUGCGUCUUUUGACUAGGAUGCUGGCGUAAUGAUCUAAUGCCGCCCGUCUU